UAUUGCACAAUGGGCGCAAGCCUGAUGCAGCCAUGCCGCGUGUGUGAAGAAGGCCUUCGGGUUGUAAAGCACUUUCAGCGAGGAGGAAGGUGGUGAGCUUAAUACGUUCAUCAAUUGACGUUACUCGCAGAAGAAGCACCGGCUAACUCCGUGCCAGCCGCCGCGGUAAUACGGAGGGUGCAAGCGUUAAUCGGAAUUACUGGGCGUAAAGCGCACGCAGGCGGUUUGUUAAGUCAGAUGUGAAAUUCCCGGGCUCAACCUGGGAACUGCAUUUGAAACUGGCAAGCUAGAGUCUCGUAGAGGGGGGUAGAAUUCCAGGUGUAGCGGUGAAAUGCGUAGAGAUCUGGAGGAAUACCGGUGGCGAAGGCGGCCCCCUGGACGAAGACUGACGCUCAGGUGCGAAAGCGUGGGGAGCAAACAG
rnacentral:rRNA from 1 species